GCCCUUUUGCUACGUGUCCUGGGUUAUUUCUUCCCUUUUCCUUUUCACAUUCGCAGAAAUAGAGAGUAAAUCUAGGGUUAAUGAGAGAGGGACCUGGAGAUAAUCGCCGGCCACCAGAUAAACUACCCGGCGACCAUCUGUUACCGACGAUACGGCGAUGCAGGUGAUUUUCUCGACAUCUUCUUUGGUGUUGUUGUUUAACAGGCAUGUAUUCUUGCUUCUAUAUUCUGUUAUUGCUUUCGAUUUUUUUUUUGUAUUCGGCGAGGAUGAUGCGCUGUUAUCUCUAUGGAACUACCUGGGGUUUGUGUUGUGGGUGUGAUGUGAGUCUUGGUUUACUCUAUUUUGGAAGUUGAGUGGCCAUUGAUGUCGGUGAGAAGUCGAAAUGGAGAAUGAAAUUGAUACCUUGAGGAGGUGUAAAUGGUUUGGGAUUGUGGGCUUUUGGACUUAUAAACCUCCACCUCCAUCACCAUCGUCGUCUCUUCUAUUCAAUCACGCCCUGUAAACGAACCUUCUUCAGGAGUUUAAAGCACCGUUAUGGAUUCCGUUGUUUCUUUUGAUUAUAAACGGGUGGUCUCCGCUGAUUUAUCAAACUUAGCUCACCACCGGCAGCCAUCAUAAAAAUGAACUGGGGUGGCUGCUUUGGAAAAAAAUAUCAAUUUGUUUUGGGUCUUCAUGGUGGUUGACAUGAGAGAUAGGCGGAGCAGUGACCUAUGGUUUCGAUAAAGGGAUUAAAGCAAUGGCUGAGCAAUUAUCUAGGGUUCUGACCAAGGAGUUCAAGUGAUAUUUUCAGGAAUGGGCCACAAGACGGAAGAAACUCAAUGUAGGAUGGUACUUAUGGUAAAACUUGCCCGAUCCCACUGGGCAACAAUUUUACAUACAUGCUUCAAGCGAAGGAUCAGAUUGGUAGCUUCUUCUGCUUCCUGUGACCUGGCCUUCAAAAGGCCGCCAGAGGCUAUGGCGGCACGAAAAUCUACAGCCGCCCUCGGAUCCGGUCCUCUUUCCUUUCCCUGCCAGAGAUCAAACUGUUCUUGCUGGUGAUUGGUAAAAAAAGGCCACCAGAGACCAAGACACACAUAGGGCAUGGGUGAAAGCUUUCUUCUUCUUAUGGACUUGUCAUCAAUGGGCGUGGCUCGAAUGGUUACACAUUCGAAGUCGAACAAGUUAAAAAUACAAGACUUCUGGUUCAAGUAGGGCAACAAAGCUAUCCAAAUUUCGCUUCUUUAGGUGUCAACAUUCUUCAACAGCUAGCAUCCAAGAUUGCACUAGACUCCCUCAUCACUGCCUAAUCAAAGCCGACACGUGGUUCGCACCAAAUAUCACUCACACGACUAAGAGACUGAUAGAAAGAGACUGAUGAAGGAAAUUAAGUGGCAGGCACCCAACAUAGAUUAGAGAUUCUAAUACCUGAGAAUCAAUUAAUUGUAAGGUAGUUUUACUUGGGAUGCAUAUCUAUUACACGUAGUUUCUUUUUGUGGACCCUUGAAGAACAUGCAAUUUUGGUGGGUUUGUUUGGCAUCCAUGAUGUAUGUUUUUUUUUUUUUUUUUUUUCAGCAGGGUUUGAUGUCUAAUAAUAUGUAACUAAAUUGUUCUCUCUACAUGUAACCUAUUGGAGUGGGAAGCAGUUUCUCUUUUAUUUGAUAAAUAGAAACAAAUAGAAUUGUUGUGUUA